rnacentral:rRNA from 1 species
CGAACGGGUGAGUAACGCGUGAGCAACCUACCUUAGUUACUGGGAUAGCCCGAGGAAACUCGGAUUAAUACCGGAUAUUCUUAUUUAAUCACAUGAUUUUUUAAGGAAAGGUCAGCCGAACUAAGAUGGGCUCGCGUUCUAUCAGCUAGUUGGUAGGGUAAUGGCCUACCAAGGCUACGACGGAUAGCUGGUCUGAGAGGACGAUCAGCCACACUGGGACUGAGACACGGCCCAGACUCCUACGGGAGGCUGCAGCAGGGAAUAUUGCGCAAUGAGCGAAAGCUUGACGCAGCGACACCGCGUGUGGGAUGACGGAUCUAGGUUUGUAAACCACUUUCAGGAGGGAAGAAAAUGACGGUACCUCCACAAGAAGCCCCGGCCAACUACGUGCCAGCAGCCGCGGUAAUACGUAGGGGGCGAGCGUUGUCCGGAUUUAUUGGGCGUAAAGAGCUCGUAGGCGGUUCAACAAGUCGGUCGUGAAAGUUCAGGGCUCAACCCUGAAAUGUCGAUCGAUACUGUUGUGACUAGGAUACGGUAGAGGUGAGUGGAAUUCCGAGUGUAGCGGUGAAAUGCGUAGAUAUUCGGAGGAACACCAAUUGCGAAGGCAGCUCACUGGGCCGCUAUCGACGCUGAGGAGCGAAAGCUAGGGGAGCAAACAGGAUUAGAUACCCUGGUAGUCCUAGCUGUAAACGAUGGAUAC